CAAAAACUUCACAUUCUAGAAUUAUUUGGGAAAACUUGCUCUUUCCAGAACAGAAAUAGUAAUGUAACCAUUGGAUGGCUUGAUUUGGAAAUAAGCUCAGAAUAUCUAGUCCUGACCCACUGUUGUGGGCAAGGCUGGCAUACACCAGCUCAGGCUGCCCGGCGCCCCAUCCAGCCCAGCCUUGAAUGCUUCCAGGAAUGGGGCAUCUGCAACUUCUCUGGGCAGCCUGUGCUAAGGUCUUAUCAACCAAUCAGUGAGGAAAAAACCCCUCACAUCUAAGGUAAAUUUCCCUUCUUUUCUUUAAAACCAUUCCCUGUUAUCUUAUUGCUAUCUGCCUGUGUAAAAACUUUGUCUCCCUCCUGUUCCCUUCAAGUACUGGAAGGUCACAAUGAGGUGUCCCCAGAACCUUCUUUUCUCCAGGCUGAGCAAGCCCUGUUCUCUCAGCCUGUCUUUGUAGGAGAGGUGCUCCAGCCCUCUGAUCUUUGUGACCAUCCUCUGGACUCACUCCAGCAGCUCCACAUACUACUUGUGCUGGGGGCCCGGACUUGGAAGCAACAUUCCAGAUGUGUAGUAUAUGACACAAGUCAUAGGAGCUGUAUGUGUGAGAUGUGUAACAGCCUCAAAAUGUGAGGGAUUUAGAAGUGAAGCUCCCUACAGUACAUCUACUUGCCUUCAGGAAAACAGUUCCUUUCCCAUGGUAAGCAGAAAUUGCAGUAUGCUGCGCUAGUAACUGCUGUCCCCAUGGCUUCUGUUUCUCUGUUCCCAGUGGCAAAGGCACUUCAUUUAACUCUACUAAUUGCAGUUAUUUAAUAUAAUGCUGCUAUGUGCUGGGAGAAGAGAGUUUUCCUAAGCCCGUAAUGUACUGGCUUGGGGCAAAUGUAUCUCAAUGCGAGCAGCCUUUUUCUUGAAAUACAGCUUACUAGGGAUGUGUUUCUUAUGCCUCAGUAUUGUGGCACCUACAGUCAGAAGAGCGGUAGAAAUGUGAUUGUGCACACAGGAUCUUCACUCAAGCACACUUUCCUGUUCUGGAAAGGGAACUGAAACUUUGAGGGACU
rnacentral:lncRNA from 1 species